UUCCUGGACAGGAAGGAGGAGUCAGCAUUAAGCUACACUCCAAACUACAUCUAACGAAAACAUUCUCCAUAGGUUUUCCUUAAGUACUUUCAUGUUGAACACCUUAAUCUUUUGGUUAAAGAGUCUGUGGACAGAAUUGUAUUGAUGCAAUCAUAUGUCAAAGGCUGGCUUGGUGCAAAAAGGUACCAGAAAGUGAAAGAAAAAGAGAAUAAAGUGCUACAAAAAUCCAAUCAGCCAGGACUCGGAAUUUCUGCUUGUCAGUCAAUGGAAAAAAAAGCGGAAGUCUUGAUUUUGCGGUGGCGCUCUUUUGUUUCUCACAAAACCUGCACAUUUGAAGAAGGAAGUAAAUUCCAGUGGGACCAGAUAACCUGCUGCACUCGGAGGCCAUGAGGAACAGUUAGAUCACCCAGAAAACUUGGCCUACCUUACAAGUGUCGAGACUGGAACCUGGAAAUGGCCUCAGGAUAAGGAAUUCUUUUUAAAGAUUCUUUGUAUUGCUCUCCGGCCUAGACACAUGUGGCUGAGAGUACUAACACCCCUUUGGAUGAAGAGAGGAUGAAUCAGCCUUUCCAAUCCGCAAUUUCACCAAAAUUCUUUGGAAGUUUCAGUAACCUAUGCUGCUGUUCAGUGAACUGCAAAAUACCGACUCCACUUUAAUGAAACUGCACUUAAACGAAAACACAGUAUGCUGAAUCUCACUUUGUUGAAGAAGGAUCGGCAGUGCCAUUUUUGUCGCAGAACAGAAGGAGUCAGUCAUUAUUAUGGAUCUGACGAGAAUGAAGAAUUUCCUGGUUUACCACAACCACAAUGGCUGGAAGAAUACCGCUUGUGAAUUUUGGAGUGGAGGGGAGCAAAACCAGUAUCGUCAAUGGCAGAAAAGGGACAGAAACAAUGCCAAUAGUGUGAAUGAUGGCCAAAGAAGGGACUGUAAGUAUGGACAACAUAAUGCACAGCAUUAUAAUAAAAGUUUUAAACAAUGAUGCUGUAAAGGUAUGUGCUGAACCAGAUAUGGUAGUUAAUUUGUCAAACUGUGAUUUAUCACAGGAACAAAUAACAGUUUUAAAUCGAGGUCUUACAUUUAUUCCAACUGUGAUUCCAAGGGCCCAUGUAGUAAAACAAGAAAUGUUUAGGUUUAUACAUAAGUUGUAUCUUAAAGAUUUCUUUUCUGUUAAAAUGAAUACUGUUAAGUUGAAUGUUGAUGAAACUAGUCACAUUGAUGAAAAGUCUGAUGAUAUUUUUUUAUUCAUGCUGUGAAGAAAUAGAGGAAAUGUUUGUGUUUCAUGAAAAUGUGAAUGCAUAUUGCAAAAUUGAUUUGUCCGAUAUUCCUGUGCUACAUAAAUUUAUUCCUCCUUUUGACAAUGAAUGUAUAGCACAUUUUAGUUCUAUUAUUGGAUUUGGGGGAGAGAAUAUUUGUGAAAAUGUUCUAAAAAAUAAAAGUAAUGUAAGUUAUAACUUGA